rnacentral:lncRNA from 7 species
GACGGCGGGUUAAUUUUAUUAUCCUCUGAGGUUUCUUUUGUAAAACAGCUUCGGCGAAGGGGUACGGGCUGAUUUGCGUCGUUGGAUCUCCAUUCGACAGCUCAGAUUAGAUCCGAAACCUAAACGAACCGGUACGCGUUGAGGGUCGUCGAUCAAGCAAUCUACGGUCACGCUUUAAUGCGUGAAGGGGUACGCAGCGUUUUAAUCCCAAGCGUCCAAUCUAGCAUCGAACGGUCGCGGCUUAGUGACUCAGGGCUCUCAUCAUGAGUCAUGACUGUCCAUCCAUGAAUGGACGGCGCGGGGGCUUCUCCCACCUCCGAACCAAACAGCGGCGGCGCCAAACCAAACAACGACGUGCGCCAUGGCCGCAGAACAACAAACUUGUACCCACUUGCCCAACACUUACACCGGAUGUGCACUACAUGUAGCGGGGCAAAGACGAACCAGGGUGGCUUGUGAUUACCAGGACCCAAAGCGCCGCAGUUGACCCACACGUCCGCGAGGUAACCACGACGACUACACAGCGCCGGCGAGGAAAUUCUCCGCGUCCCGAGAUUCUUGACUCAUCCCGAGGGUACGGACGGAUUCGCCGUGCCUAGAGGAUUCCCCUUGGAACUGCGCCGAGGACGGGAUGUCGGCACGGCAGGGAUCCCCCAGCGGCGGCCAUUUUCUUCUCUCUCUCGGUUUCUGUCCAUGGUGGGAUGCAGGGCGGUAUUACGGCACCUUGCUCAUAUAUAGCCCAGGGGUUCCAUGGCCCCGAGAAGCGCGCGAAUCUGUAGCACCCGAUCAUCGGCGGCAGUCUCGAGGGGCCCGUUGGGUUCCCCUGGUCCAAAGCUG